AUGGAGCUCCCCAUAGGUGAGCAGGAAGAGCAGCUUGUUCUGGAUCACAUGAGAACUCACUCAGUCUGCAGAUGGCGCCAUAUAACGAGUAGGCUACUGGCAGAGCAGCAAACAGGUGUUUGCACCAAAGCUGGGGAACAAUAUAGGCAAGAACAAGAUCCAAAUGUGCAAGACCCCUUGCUCACACUGGCUCCGGUGCGGUUACCGAGCCGACAGAGACCGCAACUCCCGCACACCCCCUCUCACACCGCCCUUUUGACUACGGUGCAGUGCGGCUCUGCGGCUCCGGCAACAGGU